rnacentral:rRNA from 1 species
AACGAACGCUGGCGGCAGGCUUAACACAUGCAAGUCGAGCGAGACCUUCGGGUCUAGCGGCGGACGGGUGAGUCACGCGUGGGAACGUUCCCUUCUCUACGGAAUAGCCCCUGUAAACUGGGAGUAAUACCGUAUACGCCCCUUUGGGGAAAGAUUGAUCGUAGCAGUAUCGGCCCGCGUUGGAUUAGGUCGUUGGUGUGGUAAUGGCCCACCAAGCCUACGAUCCCUAGCUGGGUUGAGAGCAAGGUCAGCCACACUGGGACUGAGACGCGGCCCAGAAUACUAGGGGAGGGAGGAGGGGGGAAUCUUAGACAAGGGGGGCAACGCUGAGCUAGCCAGGCCGGGUGAGUGAUGAAGGCGGGAGGGUUGGAAAGCGGGUUCAGAUGGGAAGAUAAUGACGGUACCAGCAGAAGAAGCCCCGGCUAACUCCGUG